rnacentral:snRNA from 10 species
GAAUACCCAGCUUGAUAAGGUUCCUAAGACAUGUCACCCCAUUGAUCGCCAGGGUUGAUUCAGCUGAUCUGGCUGGAUAGCUAGGUGUCCCCUUCCUCUCUUACCGCUCCAUGUGCAUCCCUCCUGAAGCUGCAUGCUAGGUCGAAGAGGACGACCAGCCCCGAUAGAGGAGGACUGGUCUUCAGUCAAAGGUAUACAAGUAGCUGUGCUCCCCUGCUAGAACCUCCAAACAAGCUCUCAAGUUCCAAAAGGAAGUGAAAGAAAAAGGAAACCAAGAAUGUGGAUAGAGUAGUGGGAGAGGGAGGAUAUGUCGUGUCUGUUGGU